GUCUCCGCCAACAUGGCGUCGUCCCCGGAACACUUGGUUAUUCAAUGUCAUCUCAACUGUAAACACUCUUAGACCCAGUGCGAGCUCUACACAGUAACAUCCCCUUUCACAGUCUCUCGAUUAUGGGAUCUCUCACAUCAUUGCUGAAGGAGUUUACUAUUGACAUAGUUCACCCUUUACUGCCCCCCAGUAAACAGGUGGCACCAUCUGGCAGGGCCUAACAGAGGAAGCAAGCUGGCCACAAUACCUCUUUAUCGUUGGUGGCGUAGUUUUGAUCAUCCGAGUAGGAGAAGCCAACUCCGGCCGGGGACUCCAGAUACUCAAAAAAACCUAUUUGCAGAAAGUUUUCGAAGGAAUAAUUCAUUUCCACAACUCCAAAUCUAAUGUUCACCUAUGAGAUUAUCAUACUUGAGUUGCUAAAUUUGUUACAACCAGGUUUUCCUGAGUGAAAGAAGGAAGAAUUUUAUGACCUAAUGGAAGAAAGAAAAAUAAAAAUAUGAUAUCAAACCCACAGACAAACACAGAUUAUAAGUUUAAAAGGGAGAAUGGUCACAGGCAGGAAAAAUAAAGGCUAUACCAUUUAAAAGAUUUUCUUCCUUGAGGGGCUGGAAUCUUCUUUUAACU